rnacentral:rRNA from 1 species
GUGGGGGAUAUUGCACAAUGGAGGAAACUCUGAUGCAGCGACGCCGCGUGAGUGAAGAAGUAUUUCGGUAUGUAAAGCUCUAUCAGCAGGGAAGAUAAUGACAGUACCUGACUAAGAAGCCCCGGCUAACUACGUGCCAGCAGCCGCGGUAAUACGUAGGGGGCAAGCGUUAUCCGGAUUUACUGGGUGUACAGGGAGCGUAGACGGAAUGGCAAGUCUGAAGUGAAAUCCUGCGGCUUAACUGCAGAAUUGCUUUGGGUACUGUCAAUCUGGAAUGUUGGAGAGUAAAGCGGGAUACCGGGUGUAGCGGUGAAAGGCGUAGAUAUCAGGAAGAACACCGGAGGCGGAGACGGCCUACUGGACAAUAACAGACGUAGUGGAUCGAUAGCGUGGGAAGCAAACAAAAUUAGAAACCCGUGUAGUCC